rnacentral:snoRNA from 1 species
GAGCGGAGAUGAAUGCACGUUUGCUUCUGACACCUCUUAUGUUAGCGGUCAUUUCCGGGCCGCAAUGAUUCCAAACUGUGAUCUGAGCUC